UACGAAGGGGGCUAGCGUUGCUCGGAAUUACUGGGCGUAAAGGGAGCGUAGGCGGAUAGUUUAGUCAGAGGUGAAAGCCCAGGGCUCAACCUUGGGAUUGCCUUUGAUACUGGCUAUCUUGAGUAUGGAAGAGGUAUGUGGAACUCCGAGUGUAGAGGUGAAAUUCGUAGAUAUUCGGAAGAACACCAGUGGCGAAGGCGACAUACUGGUCCAUUACUGACGCUGAGGCUCGAAAGCGUGGGGAGCAAACAGG
rnacentral:rRNA from 1 species